AUGGAGAACAGACAGAUGCUUAUAAUCAUACUCAUCACAGCUUCAGGUGGAUUUGCUGACAGAAUUGUACCAGAAGAAGGAGAAACUGAUAUGAUCAGUAAUGAAGGAGAGUCUGUGACACUGAGCUGUUUAUAUGAUACAAGCAGCAGUUAUGUUUAUCUUUACUGGUACAGACAUCAUCCUAACAGUGAACCUCAGUAUUUACUGCAUAAAGGUGCUCGAUCAUACAGCAGUUACAAAACCACAGAUGUUCGCUUUCAGUCAACAACAUCUCAAUCAUCUACUGAACUCACUAUAGACAGUGUUACUCUGUCAGAUUCAGCUUUAUAUUACUGUACUCUGAGAGUUGACACCCAAUGA